UUCUAAAGAAAGAAGUUUAUAGCUUGCAAGAGUUGAUGUCUUUCAUUUAAUUAAAUUAUACUUCUCCCAUUUCCUGAGCAAGUCAAAGAACGCAUAGGAUGAUAUUAUGGGCACAAAUGAAGAAGAGAAACCACAAGAGGCAGAUCACAAGAAUCUGGAUCCUAUACUGGGAGGACUGAAAGAAAAUGUUUCCCAGAAAACCAACCAAGAAAAUCCUGCAGGGAGAGGAUAGGUUAAGACUACCACCACACCUGAGACAUCAUCAAGCAGUUGAGGAACCACCAGGAGGAAAGACCACCCCCUUGGCCAACUGUGGGAAAGUUUUGGUCAGAGCCUGGUCACUAAAUCGGGGAAACACCAUAAAUGCACCGACUGCAAAGAGAACUUCAACCACAGUUUGCUGCUCCUCAUGCACCAAAGACUCCAUGCAGGCAUGGAUACUGAGAGGUGAAGGAUAAACUCCUCAAAAAACUUCUGAUGAUCAGCUGGAGAUAUUUGGA